rnacentral:rRNA from 1 species
AUAGGUAACCCUCUUAAUAUGGCUAUGGUUAGCCUUGAGAAUAGUUUUUCUCCACAAGAGACUCUACAAGAAUUUUCAGACAAACUCACUUCAAUGCUACCUUUAGUUUCCGAACUAGAAGAUAUAAUACAAAUGGGUGUUCUCAUGUGGAGACUUGAUCUUCUCAAGUCAGGUGCAGACUAUACCAAGUCACAACUUCACAUGGUACAAGGAGAAGUUCUACUUCUUGCAAGUGGGAGUGGGAAUCUGCCACCUAGUAGAGAAGCAGACCGACUGUUUAAGUCGCUGAAAAACUGCAAAGUUCGGUACUUUAGGAACCGGGGUGACAGACUACUCAUGGAGGAUGGCUUCAACCUUCUAACUGUCAUAAAAGGAGUAAAAAUGUACCGCCGUGGUAGACAAUGGGACUGUGUGAACGAUUUCCUGUCACCCACAUUAAGUGAAUUCAACAGAACAUUUGGUGAAGAUUUCAAACUGUUUCAUCAGUUACUGAGCCCAGCCAUGCUCUCUACAAUGAAAAAUGGGAAAAUUGUCCAUGGCCUUGCCGGUGUUCCUGACAAAGGUCCUGUCUUGUUUGUGGGAUAUCACCAACUCCUGGCCAUAGAGUGGGCUGCACUGAUUGAAGGGUUCUUGAGGGAGAAAAAAACAGUUAUCCGAACAGGGGCCCACCAUGUAUUUUUUGCUGGAAAUUAUGAGACACUACGCCAGGAGUUGUCUCUAUUUGAUUUUGUUUCUAUAUACGGCGCGGUUCCAGUCGGUCCGAUCAAUAUGUACAAAUUGUUUGAGAGAAAUGAAUUUGUUCUCCUCUAUCCAGGCGGUGUGAGAGAAGCUCUACAUAGGAAGGGCGAAGCAUACAAAUUGUUUUGGCCAGAUCAAACCAAAUUUGUAAGAAUGGCGGCACGGUUUGGAGUUACUGUCAUACCAUUUGGUUGUGUGGGAGAAGAUGACUUUUUGGAGAUAGUUGUGGACUACAAUGAUCAAAAGAACAUACCAUAUAUUAGAGACGAGAUAAAGUCAUUCAACAGAGAUUUUAUAAGAUUAAGGGACACUAUGAAAGGAGAGGAUGGGAAUCAAGUCUUGCAUCUGCCUGUUGUUUUCCCAAAAUUACCAGGGCGGCUAUAUUUCCUAUUCGGGAAGCCAAUUGAGAUGAAAGGAAUGGACAAUGUGUUGACAGAUAGGAAGAAGGCAAACCAAGUAUAUUUUCAAAUCGAAUCAGAAGUGCAGAAUGCAAUGUCUUACCUAAAGAGGAAGAGAAACGACGAUCCUUACCGGAGUAUUGUGCGACGUGCGUUGUACCAGGCAACUUGGGGUCCUUCUGCUCUAGUGCCUACUUUCGAACCGUGA